rnacentral:misc_RNA from 1 species
CCCACCCCUCUGUCUGCGUGUCGCCGCUUCGCUAACUGGUGCGCCUCGCGACGGCGCAUCCGGCCACACCUCGCCUGCGCGUCCUCAGUCGCGGUCCGCCUUUGCUUUGUUUCGGUUUUCUUACGUCAUCUGCUUGGGCACUCUGCCCUUCCACACUGAAACCUACACUUGCCUCACCCCCUCCCCCCUCCUCCCCUCCUCUGCGUGCACAGCACGUGUGCAUGCCUGUGUAUAGGUAAAACGGCGUUUCGCCUGGUUUCUGAGGAGCGAGAGCACGCGCGCUCUCGCCUGCGUAUCGCGCUUGGCAGGGAUUGCCUGCUACGCCUGGCGCGGCUGCAGCUCAAGGUCGGCUUCGUGGAGAGGGUGUCGCGGCGGCCACGGCGGAGUCAGGGUGUGAAAACGAUCGCGCCACUCACCUAAACAGCCGCGCAAACAAGCUCGAGUUUUUUCUACGACUGCCCCGUGCGCCCACAGCGGUGCAGCCGAUGCUGAGGAACGGCCGAGCGCUUGAGAACUUGCACUGCGCCAUGAGCACCAGCGAGGCAGAAGGCAGCAUCAGCGGGAGCGGCACCCUGAGAGGCCGUGCCUGUGCGAGUGGUGGGGCAGGCAAGUUCGACAAGGCAAUGAAGAUGUACCAAAAGUCUAUGGCGAUUAGGCGGCGCCUGAAGAGCAUGGCAAGUAGCACCACGCGCUCACUUGGCGACAGAGAUGAUGACGGUUUCGGCGGCGGCGCACUCAAUGAAGAGAGCGCCGCCGCUCAGACCUCAUUGAGCCCGCUGCGCGGGCCGAUGCUCCGUUCAUCGACCCAAAUCACGCGCGUGGCGCCCGCGUCAUCUAUCGCGUCCUUGGCCUCUCCGCAGCAUUCACGGGUGCUGCCGGAAAUGGCCUUCGGCGUCGCGACCGCGUCUGAGCGGACAGCGAUGGCUUCGCAACCUGCCAUCGCACUUGAUGCCGGGUCGUCCGUUGAGACGCGCUCGUCAAUGGCAGCGUUGAUGUUGUACUCGCACGUGCCGCUGCCUGCUCUCAACUCAUUCAAGCGCCUCUCCGACCCGCCUGACGUCGAGCGGGAAACGGCGCCAUCUUCCUCAUCUCCAUUCUCUCUGGCCAUCCCAUCGCGAGGCCGCACGAAAGGCGGCAGUGGCAAUCGCCACAAAAAGGUGGACGCCAGCGGCGGCGAGAACGACGCAGUGUGGCGGAAAAGAAGCCCCACCUGCAGCGCCCACCUAGACUUCCCCUAUCGCUUCUCUGCCGAGCGACAACGCACUGCGUCGCGGCACAACAGCGGCGGAACGAGCGAGGGCUUUGGCGUCGGCAUCCACAAGUAUGCUGGCCAGCCCUCAACCUCGACAGUAGACUCGCCGCUGCUGUCCCCGAUGCCGUCCUUUCACCAGAUGAUGGGCCGCUCCUACGAUGUGCCCGCACUGAACGCGAUUUUCCGUGGCUUCAGCAACGGUGUCGAUCGGUGGCAGCAGGACAGCAGAUUGCUGCGGUCGCCGCCUUCACCAACUCAUGCCACCAUGCCAGCCGCGCCGCCCACGUCGGUGCCAUCAGUGUCGACAAGCCUACAGCUUUCAUCCUCACUCGUCUCAAAGAUGUCUGUGCCGCCCCCUGCAGCUGCGGUGACAAGGCAGAUACCCACGGUAUCGGUGUCAUCAUCGGCAGAGACUACAGCAGCAGCAGAUGUGCAUGCAAUGCCGGCAGGCAACGACGCCUUUUCGUACCUGGGGCCACGCCUUUCGGCGCAGGCGCCGUCAAGGAAAGAUCGAAGCAACUCGUACCCGGCCGAUAAGGCGCGCCCAGAAGCGAGCGGACGCAGCACGGUCGAAGGCCGUGAUGGUGUGCACGCGAGCGGAUCUCUCCCGCUGGUCAAGACGAUGGCGUCGGCUCCGAACCUCAAGCCAAACGAAGCGAGCGUUCUACCGCUGGGGCCGCCGCCGCUGGACGAGAGCUCGGCAGCGACGACAACAACGGCGCAGUUUUACUCCACCGCCUUGUUGGCGAAGACGUUCGACGGUGCUCAGUACCUCAAUGACUACAUUCUACUGAACGAAAUCGGCAGUGGAUCCACAGGGCGCGUCGUUCUGGCGUUCAGCACGAGCAUGAACAAGAGUGUUGCCAUCAAGAUCAUUCUGAAGCCGAAAGAGAAGUACCGGUUGCAGCACCGCGUGUCGGCUUCCCCGUCCACGUCCGUGCUCGGGCAGCACAGCAGCGGGGGAACUUUUAGUGGGGGAAGAGCAGCGACUGCGCUGGCUACAACGACACCCGAAGCCAUGCAGAACUUCAAGUCAUCGUCCUCUUCGGCUCGGAGGCGGAGCAAGCACCGCCAGACACCGUCGACCCCGUUCACGACGGCGGCGGACAAGACGCGUAACCUGCAGCGCGAAGUCGAGGUUAUGAAGGACCUCAAUCACCCCAAUAUUGUUCGUCUUUACGAGGUCAUCAACGACCCCAAGGCGAACUCCCUCUUCCUGGUCCUACAGUACGUGGAUAACGGCGCUGUCGCGCAGCUCGACUCGACUGGACAUAUUCGAGCUCCGUUGCACCCGUGGACCGUUCUGCCGAUCGCAGCGCAAAUCAGUGACGGUCUCGUGUACCUUCAUGAGCAGCAUAUUGUGCACCGUGAUAUCAAGCCCGAAAACAUCCUCGUUAACCGCGACGGGCACGCCUUUCUCGCCGACUUCGGUGUCGCAGAGCUCAUGAGCGCGAAGGCAGGCCAACCAACUGCCGCCACGCUCACCUAUCAAGGCACACCACUGUUCAUGGCUCCUGAAAUCUACGCCGGCGUCGACGACGAAGACAGAGACGAGGAUGCGGAGCAAGCCCCAGGUCGGUGCACACGGCGGAGAAGCAGCAAUGAUGCUGACGAGAGCAGCAACAUGACGGCGAGCCCCUUGUGCGAGGAGCGGCGCGACUCACGCGUGAUCGACCCGUUUGCCCUCGACGUCUGGGCGCUAGGGGUCACCUUCUACACACUGCUCAUCGGCCACGUGCCCUUCACAUCCAUGCUCCAGAUCUCGCAGACGGUUGAGAAGGGUGUGAACAUACCAGCCUCGCUCCCAGAGCAGUGGCGCACCGUGCUGCGGCGCAUGAUGGAGCCGCGUCAAGAGCUGCGGAUCUCCUCAGCUGAGCUGUGCCACAUGCUGCACGCGAUGCUAGCGGAGCAAGAGGCCGCAGAGGUGAGGGCUGGCGGACGCAGCCGGAAGGCAUCGCUCAGCACACGCUCACGAAGCGCAACCCUCGGCAAUCCUCGCAAAGCCUCUCACCAGUGUUGCGCCGAGGGUCGAAUGGCGCGCAGUGCAAGUCUUGCUGCUGACGCGGAAGAGGAGAGUAUGAACCUUGGCAGCAGCAGCAGCAGCGAUGAGAGCGGCACAAGCGGGUACAGCAAGGGCAUCCUCGGCCUUAGCAUCACCUCCGUCGGCCUCAACAUCCUGCGACCGACACGAAUCCGAAAAAAACAGGAGCUGAGUUGCAGGGAGAGCUAGAGAGUGUGCGUGCGGGUCUGGCGGAGUGCGCUCAGCAGCCGGCAGUGCCGCUGCUCCCUCGGUGGCUGUAUGAGGUGCAGCAGUCGAGGAGCCAGCUCAGUCAGGUGGGGGGCACGAGAGCGGCGAGAGGGCCGACCCAGGCUACAGGACUUAAGUGACAUCUCGCUCCUCUCAGUGCUCCCCACCGUGGAGAACGGUUGACUGUUUACCUCUCCACCCGCUUGCGUGUAUGUGUGUGGGCCUCUGCGGGUGUACUUGUGUUCACUGUCUCGCAUCUCCCAAUCAACGAACGCCCAUCCUUUAGAGCAUACCCUUCCAUGUGCCUAGUGUAUCCUUUCUAUAUUGUUGCCUCCGGCCUCCCUAUUAGGCACACAUGCAUACAUGUAUAUAUAUAUAUAUAUGUGUGUGUGUACCUGUGCGUGCGUGUGUCUUCUCCUUUCCCUGUCUAUUUCUUGUUUGUUUGCUGUGAUGGCGGUGCUGUGGGAGCGCCCCAUGCUGUCCAUCUCAUUCUCUCUCACGGUCGCCCCUCGAACUCCACCAUCGGCAGUAUCCUCUCCCCCGUGUGCCCUUUUCUUCCUUUCUCCAUGCGUAUUAACGAUGGCACGCGUGCCAUUAGUCUCGCUCUCUCUCUCGACCUUACCACCGUUUGCCAGCUCGUGUCGGCGCCUGCGUGCGGUGGGUAGGAAGAGCGGGAUGCGUGCGCGUGCGUGUGGUGCAAUGCGUAUGCGCUUGACGCACGGCCAACUUCUCCCUCCCCCUCCAUCCUUGCUUCGGUAUGUGUGGUGAUCGGCUCCCGCUGGUCGACUCUGUUGUACUGUCGUCGUCGUCUUCGUGUGCGCCGUUUUUCGAUCCUGCUGUGCUCGGUAGUUCUCUGUCUGUCCUGAGCAAGCGUGCCCGCACCCACGCGCCCCUCCUCCCUCCGGCGUUCGCUUGGUCUGCCCACGGCUUUGUGUGUGUGUGUGUGUGGGGGGGGGGGGGGGGGGCUGUGUGCGUGCAGACCCUGCAACGUGUGUAUCUUGACCCGUGCGGAUGCUCAAAAACAUGUGCCACUCGUGUGAGAAUCGAAGGAGCACCGACAAACGGCAACGAUGCGCCAACGGCCCGGCUGGUCCCUCCGCUGCCAACGCGGAACGCCCUCUCAUCCCUCCUCCUUCCCUCUCUCUCACACGGAGACGUGUCGGUAAGAGCGUCAUGUAGAUUGCAGAAGGCGGUACUUCCUCUCUCACUUCUCUCUGCCUCUCUUGGUGUCGUUGUACCGCGAUGCCCUUGCGACCCCCGCACGUCCACACCCGCUCUGAACUCGGUGGCUAAGGGUAG